GAAACUGGGGAGCAAAGAGGCCACACAAACUGUUAACUGUCCAGGGAAGCACUGGCAGAAUAGGGCGGAGGCGGCUUGUAGGAGGCGGGGCCGCUUUGGUGUGUGGGGUUGGGCUUGGAAGAUAUGUUCAUUGAUCAGGUAGCAAGAAGGGGCAGCAGAGAGGGGAAAGGUACAAAGGUUUUUAUAAGAUGAUGGGAAAGAGGUUGGCUCAGUGUGCUAAGGCUCCCUGAGUGGGGAAAGGCCCAAUGGCAAGGGUUGAGAGCAAGGCCCUCAGAACAGUCAUGGACUGGGGAGGGGGCUGCAACCGAUCUGUCUGGGGCUGCCAGAAUUGAAUGGAAUCAAGUAAAAAAACACUAAUAGUUAUGCUAAUAUUUGUUUAAAGGCACGAUGGAUGAGAGAUGAAGGCCUGGGAUCUCCAGUUCUGAGAGAACUCCAAGAUGCUAGCUAGUUUGCAAGGCAGUGGUAUGUUAGCAAAAGUAAGUCCACAGAGGAGAGAGAACCCAGGGAUGGAAGGAGCUGGGAUAGUCAGCUUGCUGGACACACUUUAAGAGGAAAAAACGAAUGGCACAGGAGGGAGGUUUAAGGAACGGGCUGAUCCUGGUGCGGACCUGCAGCUAAGGCUCGCUGCUCCACUCGCAGAGGGAAGCAGCCCCUGAUGGGAUUCGCUCUGCUGGCUGGCUGAUGAGGAGCAUCCAUCUGCUGAUAAAGCAACGGAACAAGACGUUCCCUUCUGACAAGAAGGCAACCUUCUCAGAUGCAAGAAACAGAUAACCCCACUGCUGCAGAGAGAAGGCUGGUAAACUGGCAAGAAGUGACCAGGACCCCAAGGACUAGCACCAGGAGAGCUGGAACAGAAACUAAAAAAAGAAACAGCCAAGAGCAGACUGAUGAACGUGUGCUGGGGGACCUGAGAUGGGACCUCUGCCACUUUUCCCACCUGCACAUAGUUUAGCCCUUGAGAUUCUUUCACCCUUGAGAAAAGAGCCAGGCACUCUGAAUGACCAGGGACUUGAUAUGUACAGCAGCAGACAAGUGGGCAUAAAGUAGGAAAACCGGGGUCAAAGUGGAUUUGGCCUUCUGAAGAGAAACCCUCCUUUAUUCCUUGAACUUCUAUGGGGGGUGAAGGCCAGAAGGUAUCUAGGGCCAGCGGACAGCCUGAGGAAGCCUUUUGUCUGCUCACUGCCAGCCCUUCUCCAGGGCCCCAGGCCCCAUGACCAGGGGGCCACAUUCUGGAGACUCCUCCACUGCCCCCAGACACAUUAAAAAAUGAUAGAUAACCCAGACACACACCUGUGCUUAAUGUACACAGAAUAACCGUGCAGACUAGCAGUUGGCCCAAAGCCACAGAUCAGAUGAAAUAAUGCCUUGUUUGUUAAAAGGACAAAAAAUAUAUAUUCUGUGCUCACUUUUCCAAGAAGUUAUUUUACAGUUGACCACUCAAAUACCCACACACACAUUCUACAUCAAUUCAAAGAAACAACUGCCUCAUGCCACACUGGGCCCACAGCAAACCCUGCAGAUGGUCUGUGCUCACCCAGCUCCACCGCAUUUGGCCGGAGGUCUCAAUCUGUUUUCUCAGGGUUAUCAGCAUCCUCCUGGCCAUAACACCCAUGUUCACUAGAGCCAAAAAAUUUGGUGCAACUCCCACGGCAACUAGGAUGCCACCUGAGCUAAAAGAAAGGGGUGUCUGGGGCUGUGGAGCCUAGUGCCACCUUGCGCUCUUGCUUUGAGUCGGAAGGACCCUCACAAGUUCUCACUUCCCGCUGAUGCCAACACAUAGUCCUAAUGGUUAUCAAUGACUGGGCUCUGUCCGCACCCACCCACCCUCAGAGGACUCCAAACAUGAAGCUCUUUCCUGUCUUUCAAAAGAGGAUGCUUAACUAAGUGUGGUUGGAGAGAGAGCACUGAAGAACUAAUGCUGUUGCCGCAAAACAGCACGAAGCAGUAUCAAAACACCAGCCCUCAUAUAACAAGGACACCACAGAAGUGCUUAAAGGAGUAGCCUGAAAUAGCCACAGAUAUCAACAAGGUCAGAGUGUAAACGUUUUUAGUGGAAGCUAAGCAUAAAGUCUUGAUUUUUCCAAGGCAUCAGCAUCACUAAGUGCUACAUGCACAACUUGAACUGGAAAUUAUCCUUGUUGCUGUUUGAUAUUCUACUUCCUCUCACCAAACACCUCUUUCUAAAUCAGAGAUGUUACUGGUCUGAAUUCAUUUAAAGAGAUCCCCAGAGCUGGCCCUACUAAUUUAUUAGAGAUUGACCAGGCUGGGAAAAAUAGCACAAUUCCUGGAAAGAGACUGCUUCCUGUAAGGACGACCAAGUUUAUACACAAUUCAGAGGGUUUAAGGGCUGAGAACCCGUAUGUUUCCUCAAGGGCUGUGUCCACAGGCUCCUUCACCAUCUAACUACCCAGCUUUGAGCUUUGAAUGGUUGUCAGCUGUCCAAAAUGAGGACCUCAGUCUGCUAACAGUCCUGUCUAGUCACUGGCAACAUCCCUGGGCCUUAUCAGGUCAGGACAAGCAAGUCCUAGUUGCUCACACGCAGCACUUAUCAUCCUUUAGACACAGAUCCACACCCUCACUCCCAUGUGUCUGUGUGCGAUCUCAGUGAGGAUGCUCACUGCGCACACAGUCCCACCCAGGUUUCAGUUCUGCAUGGACCCCCACUCCCUGUGGAGUUGACACUUGCCCAGCAGGCCCUCGAAUUCCAGGUCCGAGCAUGGUCACAGCCUCAGGGAAACAUCAGUAAACUCAAUAGUCCCUCUGACAUGAGAAAUGCUGCUAAAAGCAGAAAUUUGGGUAGGUGGGCAAAGCGGGGUAAGAUUGAAGUGAAGGAGCAAGAUUAAAAAAGGAAUGUGGUAACUAUUUCUGCACCAACUGCUCCUGAGGUGGCCAAACCACCUUGUCUUUCGAGUUCCUACACAUGUGGAGCUGUCCAAGCCAUGAAUAAAUACAGCUCAUUAGGGUGAUUACCAGUAAAUUAGCAUUUACCAAGUCAUGUGUUGUUGUUAUUAGAUAGCUCUUAGACACCUUUUACUUCAAAGUUAUUUCCUCUUGCAUUUUCAAAUUUUACUUGUUGAUAAACUGUUGGAGUCCUGCUCCCCUAUCAGUCUCAGAAGAUUUUAUCUGCAGUCCUUUAAAAUUCUACUAUCUUAUGAUUAUUCUCUAAGAAACUAUAGAAAAACAGAAGAAUAAAGGCUGGACUAAGAAUCAAACAUCCUGUGUUUUAGAGUCAGGUCAGACUCACAAGUGAAUGAUUAUCAUCAGUAAAUUGGCCCCGAUGACUGAGUUUCCUUUCAUUCUUGCAAAUAUCGUCUGAGUGCCUACUAUGUUCUAAGUGCUGUUCUAGGAGCUCAUGCUCCAUCAGUAAGCAAGAGGCAAAGGUCUCUGCCCUUGUGGAGCUUAUAUCCUGGCUCGCUUUCCUUCCAUAACUUUCUGUUGUUAGCUCUUGCUUUCCACACGUGUAGAAACAGAAUUUGAGAAUGAAACACUGGUGAUGGUCUAGAUCUGCCCUGCCCAAUACUGUAUCCAUAAGCCUUAUUUGACCCUUGAGCACUUGAAAUGGGGCAAGUCUAAAUUGAGAAGUGCUCUGAGUGUAAAUACACACUGGAUUUCAAAGACUCAGUACAAGAAAAAAAGUAAAAUACCUCAUCAAUAUUUUUUGCACUGAUUAUAUAGCAAAAUGAUAUUUUCCAUGAUAGGUUAAAUAUAAUUAUUCUCACCUGUUUAUUUUUAUUUCUUAAUGUGACUACUAGACACUUAACUGUGGCUCUCAUAUUAGAAUGAAGAAACUGAAGCCUGAGAAGGUAAAGAUGCUUGCUGCCAAGUGUCCUCACAACCGAAGGUGGCCUCAGAGGCAGGGAGGAAGUAAGUAUAAAGACUAGCAAAGGCCUAGGGCCCAAGCAUGGGAGACAGCAGUGCUAGUUCCUGGCUGGGCAAUGUUGGGCCAGCACCUGGACAUGGCAGGUGCUAGUGUCCGCUUCAUUCCUACGUGUGGAUCAGAGUUCUUCCUGCUGCAGUUGCCUCACACCUACUCCACGUGAGUGACAGGGCUGGCAGAGACCAGGCAGGGAGAGCCCACUGUGCGGCUCCUAACACCCACCUCUUCAACUAUCAAAAGCACAGGUCAGGGAUAAACAGGGUGUGUUUGGGGGUGAAGGGUAGACAACCAGGUAUUGACUCUUUUCCCACCUUUGUAAGGGCUGAGAAGGUAAGAGAAGCAUAUGGUAACACGAGCGGGUGGGAGCAGUUCAAGAUUCGUGGAUAAUUUUCCUCUCAAUAUGUAUUUACAUAGAGCUAAUGUAGAGACACAAACGGGACUUUUUGUGUUCAUCCAAGCAAAGAUCAAGUUUGAAAAAACUAGAAAAUAAGGUGCAAGGCAAAGCUGUAAUGAAGUGUUGAGGAGGGUAAGUGUUGGAAACACCUUAGGUGGGGUCAGAUCAGAAGUCUCUGAGGAGGACCCAAAACUGGACUGAAAUAUGGUUUGCUGAGGAAGGAGUAGCAUUAAUGUAUUCAAAUAUUUGAGUAUGUAUUCUGCAAGGCAAAGUAGGGCAAUUAGGAAGACUCAUCAAGGGAGGCUGAGAAUAAACAGGUCAGAAAGGUACAGGUUCUGAGAGAGAGCUCAGCUUCCAAAAGGGUAAGCGGUUUGUUAGUGCUUGCGGUGGCAUUCCAGGUGCACGGGACACAGAACUGGCCAGAGGCCGGGAGAAGAGCUCUGCACUGUUCUCAUCAAGUUGCUGUCUAUAGGGCCCUAAAGCAGGUCAGUGAUGGCAGUGGAAACAAAAAGUUAAAAAGAAAGAAUCAGCAGAACUAGCCAGCCAGUAAGCAGAGGGUGGGGGCUGAGCGAGCCCUGUGAGCCGGUAGGGUGGGUGGGCAGGAUAGGGAGUGCUAGAGGGAGAGCUCUGGAGUUCAGCUUGAGGAGUUUCAGCUGCUAGCCAGUAGCAGCCACAGCCCUUCAGCUCCAAACCUACACCCCUGCUGCCUCCACUUAGAAAAAGGCCCAGAAACCACCUUGCAUUUUAGGCUGGAUGCUUUCAAUCCAAAAAGCUCCAGCACUAGGGCCCACCAGAAUGACACCUACUUUAAGCGUGCCUCCCUCUUUCAGAGGAAGGGCACUCAAAUACCAGCAGAGAGUGUAUUCAAUUAGCAGGAGUACCCUCCAGAUGCCAGGCCCUCUCUUGGCACUGGGGAUUCAGCAAUGAGCACAGGCUCCUGCUUCCCUGGCACUCACAUGCCAGUGGCUAGGACACAUGAGCACAAACUAAGUGUCUCAGGUACAUUAUGAUCCAGUUCCUCCUGCAUCCAGAGCCCUUCCACAGGCCUUUUCACACACCAUUCCCUUGGCCUCUACACCUGGCCUAGCAAGCACUUAACUACUAACUGACUCAAUCACUGCUAGCCAAGAAAUAAACACUUUAUGCAGUUUAGUGACCAACACUCCAAAGGGCUCAAGACUAAAAAAUAUCCUACAUAUGUAGGAUUUUAUGUAGAGUUGCCUGACUUCAACAAUUAUUUCUUUAUAUUAGUUUUCUCCUGUUGUUCCAAGAAGUCCUGCAAACAUUUCUCAGACAGGCUACAGGGGCCAGCUGUACAAAAUCUGUUAAUUCUAACUAAUCUAUAAGGUUAUUUCUUACAUAGUUGGGUUAUACAAAGAUGUUUCCUCCAAACCAUUUAAUUCCAAAUAUAAGCUUCCUUAUAAUGCUUCCUAAUAAUAUAAUAAAAGGAUAAAAGAGAUUGAGACAGGAAGUCUCAGAAGUAUAGCAGGAGAUCAGCACUACUGCUGUACACAAGUGGCUUAAACACGUUAAUGUUUCUUUAAACACAGAGGUGUCCACUUCAUCCUCACACAAAUUAUGCCAAUUUAAGGUGCUGUAUAGUCAAAACACCAAGGCGGCAGGACAGACUUACCUCUAUCACCUUGUUUACCUUAGUGACAACACAAAAAAGCAACAGACCUUACCUAACCAAGGAAAUGUUUUAUCCCAAGUUAACACCUCAGACUCUGCAUUGUUUCCCCUUAAGAUCCCUCAACCCCCAAUAGGUACACACACACACACACACACACACACACGAACAGAAACAUCUCAGAGUCUGGUGCGAGGCCAAAAAAAACAAACCCCACAACACAAGUUUAAUCUAACUGAAAUUAGUCAUGGGCUUCCGCAACUUGUCUCAGUAACACAAGCUUUACCACGUCCAUUCAGAGCUCUUGGCUUGUCACUCUUCAGUGACGCCCCAUGCACCACAACAUAUAAAAGAUGAAAGAUAAAAACAAGGUACUACUUGGGCAGUUUUAAAAAUCAUACAAUUGUCUACUUUCCUAUCAAAUGUGUUCACUUACUAGCACUGGGAGAACAGGGCACUAUAGUCCACUCUAAGCUAUCUUUACUGCCAAGCAGUUCCUCGGACUUUCAGAAGUACUACGACUUUUCUGUUCUCUGCUGGAUAGUGCGGGAUGUGUACAAUCUGCCUUGGCCUUGAAUACUGAGGAAGUAGGCUAAAUGGGGCACUACUGGAAAUGGGGUGUGGGGGGGGUUCCUGCAACUCUGGAUGGAAUUCUGGUGAGCUACUUGGACUCACAGUAGAACUGAAGAAACAGUAGGGAGAGCCACCAGGGCUCACCUAGAUCAGGCUCAUUCUGACAGGCCAUGAGCCAAAUCCUUUCCUUCAGAGGUACCUCAACUUAAUCUCUGGAUAUAAGGUAGGUAUUGUGGAAAAAAACGCAACAUGAAGAGUACUGCUGUUGGCUCAGUGUACACACACUCACAUUACUUACAAAAUUAGGGACCUUUAUUUUGGGUGACAAUUUAGAGGCUUUUGGAAAGGAAAAACUUUUUUACCACUUUGAUGUUAUGAGACUCCCUCACAGCUACCUCAACAAUUACAUAAAAAUAUAUCGAAACCUUUCUAAAAACUCCUUAUUGAGAACAAACAUAUGAGUAUACCUUAAGACACAAGGUUUUAGUUAUCUCAAGUAAGAACUUGACUCCAGAAAUAUUGUUUUCUAUCUUCACAAACAAGAAUGUCAAAGGACAGAACCCCUGCUAGUCCAGCUCAGACCCCUUCUAGGAAGUAGGAGAGAAAAGUCAGCAUUCUCUCCUCCCACUCCCCCGCUUCAAUGGCAGGGUCCCCAGUGCAGGUCUCACCCCCUCAGUGGUACCUCUGGGGAUUUCAGACACAGGUCAAUUCUUGGUGAGCACUCCUACCACCCUCAGAGCUGCCUGACUGGCUUCCUUGCCAAGUUACUCAUGUUGAAAGGUUAGUGUAGCCAACAAUGGCCACUCUCAUCCCUCCUGGAGGGCAGCUGGGCCAAGCCAGGAGUUUACUUUAGGAGGAUUUUAUGAUCUUAACUUCAUUUCCUGGGGAGGUUCAGGUUGCUAACCCACCUACCAACUAUCCUGAAUACCCAUUGUUACAAUACAAAUGAUUAGUCUUCAUAAACGUUUACUGUAUUAAGUGCACUUUAAGCACUCCAUCGUUUGCAUGUUAUCACUCCAUAAAAAACAAACUAAAGUUUCAAAAGGCCCCUACUUGAAACAAGGACUUGGCCAGCUCUGCAAAGCCUUCCUCUGCCAAAAAGGAGAGGGGGGCAGGGGACUGCGCUGACCCCUCGCUUGUGGUCCAUCCCUAAACAGGUUCUAACGAGAAUGGGUCGACUCCAGUUCUCCAGAGAAACUCGCAGGCAUUUCUCCGGAAGUCCUCCCUUCGAGGUGGCGGGGUUUUGCUUUCUCGCCCGCCCGCGCUCCGUGUUUUGGUGGCCAGGCUACAAACCUGCACGCGUCAGAUUUGCCACACUCCUCCGACUCCCUUCCCACCUUCCCGAUCUGGCCUGCAACUCCUCCCGGGGCAGCCGCGCCUCUAAGCCCCGCAGCACCGCUAGCCGCGUCAACUGACUGUCAUGGCUUUUAGUUUACAAGGUACGAUUUCAGUGAACUACACAAAGCUUACGGGUACAGACUGAUGAAUUUCUACUUGUGCACAUACAUCCAUGUAACUGCCAUCCGGAUCAAGAUACAGGACAUCUCCAGAUUCCACAGGCGCCUUCCCAUUCAAUAUCCCAUAGAGAAGUACACAGAUAAUAAGAACACAGCUCAAUGACUUUUCACAAGCUGAACAAACCUUUGUCACUUGCACCCAGAUCAAGAAACAAAGAAGAACCACAGCCCUUGGGGACCUGCUCAAUAACCACCACAGCGGCAUCGGCUACAUUCUAGUGAGUCUCUGGUGGGACCAAGGCAUGACUUGGCUUUCCCCUUCCACCUAGAAUUCUCACCAAUAAAUCCCUGUCUCUUCUCAGG